CGAAGGUGGUUUUCCCAGGGCGAGGCUUAUCCAUUGCACUCCGGAUGUGCUGACCCCUGCGAUUUCCCCAAAUGUGGGAAACUCGACUGCAUAAUUUGUGGUAGUGGGGGACUGCGUUCGCGCUCUCCCCUGGCUUUUUGUAGUAGAACGACAGACUGUGAUCGUUUCCGGUAAGCCUGCUAUUUACGCAUUCUUUACUGGAUGCAGGGUUUUAAGCGUUCUACGGCGUCGUUCGUGUUCUUCCUAGAUCAGUGAGAUUGCUGGCAGGAUUGGCUUUUCUUCUGGGAGGUAAGCCCGCGCCCUGAAUAUGAACCACGAACUGCUGGUUGAUUUACUUCUUUGGAGCCAACGUUCUGUCUGUUCGCUACAGACAGAGAGGUCUUGGUCCUUCGUGCUUACGCCGUGUACACGGUCUUUUAACAGAAGAGGAGGAGGGGGGCGCGUUCCCGUUUCUCUCUGCCCCGACACAGAAAAGUGCGUGUGAUGGGAGGACUCCAACAGAGUUUCGCUCCCUGGUUUUAAGGUCUUGAAAUGCUCCUAUCCCCCCCACCGCAGUUUCCCUUUUAAAUCAACCACCCUCGUCCCCCCCUCUCCUGUUUUACUGACUGUUUUCCUCCAUAGGGCCCCGCUUGAGAAAGACCAGAUUGGGCUCAAGUUCCAUAGUUUUACUGCGAAACACGAAGAAUAUCGUGUAAGCUCUGACAAACCAGGCAAGAGAUGGUCCGUCAAUGGCAAUGAAGGCCACAACUCAACAGCAGGGAACGCAGGGCUGCCUCCUCUUCUCAGAGACCGGCAGCGAGCUAGGGAAUCAGCGCUUCAGUUGACCCGGAGGUGCAAAGCAGAUCUUGCCGAAGUCCGCCCUGGAGCGGGUAACAUACGCUCUUUACUCGGUUUGUACGUUUUGUCAGUGAGAAGGCCCUUGGAGAGUGUGGUCGUUAAUGAUGAGGAUCAUGGCUGCCCCUGCCCCAGGGAGAGAAGCCCAAGGUGUCCUGCCCUGCAUACUGUUCUAGGUCAUCCUCCGGGAAGCAUAGGACGUCCUGACUUAAUCCGGUCUGAUGCCUAUCUAAAGUUGUAGGACCACCCAAUAACCAGACCCCACUUGCACUGAUACCAUUUUAAUGAUUUUUUCAUCAUCUUUCCUUUGUCUUGUAAAGAAAGCACUCACGUACCUAUGCCUCAUAAAUUUAGCUCUAACCCUCAACACACUGCAGCUCUUACUGCCCAUGGGUCCUGUCCCCGUGCCUGCGGCUCUUACUGCGGUGGGUCCUGUCCCCAUGCUACUCCAUGCCAUUCUCUGAAUAAGAGAGCACUACUACCAGACCUGGAGAGUCCAAGAAAUCUUUUUCGACUCCUCGACUCACCGAACCCGCAUCAGUCAACACAUUUAUAUCUGUUUAUUAAG
rnacentral:lncRNA from 1 species